UGUGUGUCCAUGAAGAGCACUGACUCCAAGGACUUCAAUAUUGACUUUAAACAGGAUCGUUCAUCAGAGUCAGCGAUCCACCACAGACCAGAGUCCUCUGGACCUGAUCCUGGACCUGGAUCCAGUUGUGUGUCCCUCAGGAGUGACCGGUCCAGCAUGGAACCACCAGAUUUUUCCACAGAGACGUAAGUUUGAUGUAAAUGUCCGAUGUGUCGACUGCUUAUUAAAUCGAUAUUAAACAUUGACUUUAGUUGAAAGUUUAGAACGUGUUCAUUUUCAGCUGAUUCUUCACAUCAUUGAGUCUGUUUCCAUGAC